rnacentral:rRNA from 1 species
GACGAACGCUGGCGGCGUGCUUAACACAUGCAAGUCGAGCGGAGCGGCGAACGGGUGAGUAACGCGUGAGUAACUGCCCCCCUCCCUGGGAUAACAGUUGGAAACGGCUGCUAAUACCUGAUAGUGGGGGAUGACUCGCGUCCUAUCAGCUUGUUGGUGGGGUAGUGUCCUACCAAGGCGACGACGGGUAGCCGGCCUGGGAGGGCGACCAGCCACAUUAGGCUGAGGUACGGACCAGAGGGCUACGGGGGGCAGCGGUGGGGAAUAUUGCACAAUGGGGGAAACCCUGAUGCGGCAACGCGGGGGCGGAAUGACGGCCUUCGGGUUGUAAACCGCUUUCGGCCAUGACGCGGUAGUGGCAGAAGAAGCACCGGCUAACUACGUGCCAGCAGCCGCGGUAAUAC